rnacentral:rRNA from 1 species
AUACGUAGGGUGCGAGCGUUGUCCGGAAUUACUGGGCGUAAAGAGCUCGUAGGUGGUUUGUCGCGUCGUCUGUGAAAUUCCGGGGCUUAACUCCGGGCGUGCAGGCGAUACGGGCAUAACUUGAGUACUGUAGGGGAGACUGGAAUUCCUGGUGUAGCGGUGAAAUGCGCAGAUAUCAGGAGGAACACCGGUGGCGAAGGCGGGUCUCUGGGCAGUAACUGACGCUGAGGAGCGAAAGCAUGGGUAGCGAACAGGAUUAGAUACCCUGGUGGUCCAUGCCGUAAACGGUGGGCGCUAGGUGUAGGGGUCUUCCACGACUUCUGUGCCGUAGCUAACGCAUUAAGCGCCCCGCCUGGGGAGUACGGCCGCAAGGCUAAAACUCAAAUGAAUUGACGGGG